GACGAACGCUGGCGGCGUGCUUAACACAUGCAAGUCGAACGGUGAAGCGCCUUCCUUUUUGGUGGGUGUGGAUGAGUGGCGAACGGGUGAGUAACACGUGAGUAACCUGCCCCCUUCUUCUGGAUAACCGCAUGAAAGUGUGGCUAAUACGGGAUAUUCUGGGUCUGUCGCAUGAUGGGUCUGGGAAAGAUAUUGUUUCGGUGGGGGAUGGGCUCGCGGCCUAUCAGCUUGUUGGUGGGGUGAUGGCCUACCAAGGCGGUGACGGGUAGCCGGCCUGGGAGGGUGGACGGUCACACUGGGACUGAGACACCGCGCAGACUCCUAGGGGAGGCAGCAGUGGGGAAUAUGGCACAAUGGGCGCAAGCCUGAUGCAGCGACGCCGCGUGAGGGAUGGAGUCCUUCGGGUUGUGAACCUCUUUCGCCAGUGAAGCAGGCCUGCCUCGUUUGUGGGUGGGUUGACGGUAGCUGGAGAAGAAGCGCCGGCUAACUACGUG
rnacentral:rRNA from 1 species